AACUUCUAAAAACCAUCAUGGCAGCUUCUAAUGACAAUUUCCAAAGUUUGCUAGAUGGAUAGAGUAGCUUCUAGGUUUCAUGAAGUCGGUGCUGCAUGACUUCUAACAAGAUCCUCAAACACCAAGAACUUCUCGAGUAAUCGAGAAUGAUAAAGGAAGAGGUUUGACUACUGAAUUUCCAAAGAGCCAAGAUGAGGAGGAGGUCGAGGGAAGAAUUUGGCCCCUGACCACCAGGUAUCAAAGCCAGGCUACAAGGAUGAAUCAGAGCUCGUCUAGUCUAACUCCAAUGAGUUCAAUAUUCUGUGGAACUGGGUGUAUCAUCAAGAAUCACAAUUGAAGGCGUUGAAUGAUAAGGUCGAAGACUUUUCUUAACUCAUGAUGGGACCAUCUUCUCAACUUAUAGCGGUUCUCGUUCAAAUGGGAAGGCUCUUGGAAGAGAAGAACAAGGCACCACAAGAAUCAGUGCUAGGUCUUCAACCAUUCAACAAUCCUACUCAACCCAUCCUACAACAGUUCACCAACAGGAGGAACAAUAUUGGAGAGAAAAUAUCCUUAUUUAUAUUGGACAUUGUUUGCUGCUCAUUGCAUUAGUCUCAUACUGAAGGAUAUUUGCAAGCUAACAACUGGGAAUCUGACCUUGAGCUGAGUUAUGGAGUUGACAUGAUUUAUCUGCUCAUAUGGAUUCACAACAAGGAGAGAAAUAUAUUGGAUUAUAAGGGGUAAUAACAUCUAGCUUAUUGCAAGCACAACCAAGAUUUAAAGGAGAGAUAUGACUCCAAAGAUGCCAUGGAUUCGAUCAAGUUGGCUGAUAUAGAUGAAAGUAACGAGUGGUUGUUAGGUAGUUCGGUAAAGGUAACUAUGCAUAAAAUGAUUUAGUGGAGGGCAAGGAUGACCUUACAUUUGGUCUCGUAGCAAAAACAAUGAGAGUUGAAGAAGAUGAUGCUAGCUAUCUAAGGUCAACUGGUAGGGUUCAAGCAUCUUUGAGUGAUAUCGGAUCAUCAUCGAGGAGGGAGCCAAUUAUGGAGUCAGAUGAAGAAGAAGAGUUUAACGAUGAAGAUGAUAUUCCUCUUGAUGGGGAUGAUAGUGAUGCUGGGGAGGAUGAUUAGACUAUUAUUUUCUACUUAUUUGCUUAGUAGACUACUUGCUUCUCUUUGAUGUUAAUGAAAUUUUUGGGCGUGUUCUACUACUUAUUUUCUUUAUCUUAG